AGUCCAGUGUGUUGGGUAGAGUCCAGUGUGUUGGGUAGAGUCCAGUGUGUUGGGUAGAGUCCAGUGUGUUGGGUAGAGUCCAGUGUGUUGGGUAGAGUCCUGUGUGUUGGGUAGAGUCCAGUGUGUGGGUAGAGUCCAGUGUGUUGGGUAGAGUCCAGUGUGUUGGGUAGAGUCCAGUGUGUUGGAUAGAGUCCAGUGUGUAAAUAGAGUCCCGUGUGUAAAUAGAGUCCAGUGUGUAAAUAGAGUCCUGUGUGUAGAUAGAGUCCAGUGUGUAGAUAGAGUCCAGUGUGUGUGUAGAGUCCAGUGUGUGGGUAGAGUCCAGUGUGUUGGGUAGAGUAGUGUGUUGGGUAGAGUAGUGUGUGGGUAGAGUCCAGUGUGUGUGUAGAGUCCAGUGUGUGGGGGUAGAGUCCAGUUUGUUGGGUAGAGUCCAGUGUGUUGGGUAGAGUCCAGUUUGUUGGGUAGAGUCCAGUGUGUUGGGUAGAGUCCAGUGUGUGUG
ensembl:lncRNA